AGAGAGAGACAUGCGCGCAUAUCAAUAAGCGGAGGAAAAGAAACUAACUAGGAUUCCCUCAGUAACGGCGAGUGAAGCGGGAAGAGCUCAAAUUUGAAAUCUUCAAGGUUCUACCUUGACGAAUUGUAGUUUAAAGAAGUGUUUUCUGUUGGAGUUUUGGUAAAAGAUCUUUGGAAGUAGGACAUCAUAGAGGGUGAGAAUCCCGUAUUUGACCAUUAUUUCCAACUUUGUGAUACACUUUCAAAGAGUCGGAUUGUUUGGGAAUGCAGUCCAAAAUGGGUGGUAAAUUUCAUCUAAAGCUAAAUACUUGGCGAGAGACCGAUAGCGAACAAGUACCGUGAGGGAAAGAUGAAAAGAACUUUGAAAAGAGAGUUAAACAGUACGUGAAAUUGUCAAAAGGGAAGCGUUUGACACCAGUGUUGUUUUCUCGAAAAUCAAUUAAAAUGCAGGAUUUUCGAUUAGUAGUAUUGACCUUUAUCAGCUUUCUGCACUUUCUUCUCUGUAUUUUUUAAUGCACUUUUCAGUUUAACAAGUCAACAUCAAUUUCUUUUGUUGUAAAAAGGGUAAUAGGAAGGUGGCUUUCUCUUCGGCGCAAGUGUUUAUAGCCUUUGGACUUCUGCAAUCGGAGAGAUUGAGGUCUGCAGCGUAGAUCCUUCGGGGUUAGAUGCAUUUGUGCUAAGCUAUAGCCCUUUCAUAGGACAACUUGUUGACUAUGCUCAGUCAUGUAGCUUACUCGCUUAUGUCUAUUUUACCUACGCUUAGGAUGUUGACAGCAGUAUAGACUGU
rnacentral:rRNA from 1 species